rnacentral:lncRNA from 1 species
GUAACAUUUCAAUGAACUUUUUUUUAUUAUGACGUCAUCAGAUUUUCCCGUUUUGUGCGUUUUCCCGGCUUGUUCGACUUUUUGGGCUGGUCCCUGAAAAGUUUCAAAAUCAGGGUUUCACUGUAUUUAAAUGUUUUGGAUCUCAACCAAAGAUCAGCCUUGAUUAUAUAGUCAGGAUUGCUUAUAUAUACAAAUUGAAUAUAUUAGAACAAGCACCAACAUUCUAUUCUAAUUUUGAAAUUUUUGUAUGUGAACUGAGACUUAUUGAAACAUGUCUUUGAUUAAGAUCAAAAACAUGUUUUAAUAAUAAAAGUGAUUUUCCUGGAUGUCAGCCACUUUUUGUAUGCAACAUAAUAUAGGUGCAAUCACAGUAAUUCAUUAGCUCCAGUAGUUUUUGUCCAAUAAUUUUUCUUAAAAAAUUAUUUUUUUAAUUUUCCUAAAAUUUGAGUUAUGUAAAAUCUUUAGUCCUAAUUAUUUACACCUCAGGAGUCCUAUUAAGUUGCAGAAUACCUGUAUACGAUAAAAUCAUCAUCAUGGUCAAAGCUAAAUAUCAAUUUUAUGGAGAGAAGGGAGAAAAGUAUUAUGUAUUGAUGAGAAAUGUUGAUUGUGAGGUGUGUAUUGAUUAAUUCUAACUAUAUUGUAUGUAAUUAGAAUGUUAUUUUCUGUAGUUUUAGUGCAGUAUGUUAGACAGGGCUGGUGCAAGGCAAGUUCAGCGCAUUUACCGGAACCUGGCCCCAUGUUUUGAGAGGCUCCUUGGUCUACGAAAAUUACCCAAUUAAAAAACACUGAUUUUUGAUUAACUUUUUACAGAAUGAUGAUACCAUUAACAGAUGCAAGAC